rnacentral:lncRNA from 1 species
CACCCCUGCACCAGCCCCUCACCCUGGCCAUGAGGGUCCCUCUGUCCCUGGAGCUCCGGCCUCCUUUUAGUGCCCAUCUCCUUAGCCUGUCCCUUUCUUUCAGGUGACUCUGCCUCCCCCCAUUUGCUGAGGCCUCCUCCCUCCUUCUCCAAGACAGGCCCUGCUCCUCUUCCCCACCUGCCGUCUUAGUCCCACAUCUGGGCUCUGUUGGCUGGUUAACCAUCGAUCUUGCCUGGUAAAUAAUUCAGGGCCUCUGUUUCCUCAUCUGUGAAAUGAAAAGCCUAAGAGAACGCUAAGAUUCUUUUGGCCUAGAAUCCUGUGAGUCUCUCUUAUGACAGACAGUGACAUUUUCCACCCCAGUAGGGACCUGGAUUGCUACUGCCAUGGCCAGCUGGGUGCUCUCCAAGUCAGGGGUGCUGUGCGAGGAGGGCGUGGCUUCUGCUCCUCUGUGUCCCAGCCACUCCUCCUGUACUCAGGCCCCAGCUCCUCUGUUCUGCCCAGUGGCCUGGCGCAGGAAAGGUGACCCAGUAGUUCAGCCUGUCCCAGCUGCCUGCCCCAGCACCAUCCCAGACCCCUUUCCCUGGGGCCCACCUUGGCCCUGAGGAAGGCCAGAGCUCGGCUGCUGUUCUCCAGGAAGUGCACACGCAGGCGGCCCCGGCUCGGGGGUGGCAGGGCCUCCCCUGAGAUGAGCUCCAGCAGCCGCAGGAGGUGGAUGCCGUCAGCCAGCUCUGUGUACAGGUUCCGGAUCUUGAUGCCCGCCUGGGGAGGGGACAGGGUGCAGCUCUGCUCGUGCCUGUGAAGCCUCCCACAGCCUGGGAAGGAAAAUCCAGACUUGCCAGACCUUGCCUCAGCCAGGCCUUGGAAGCCUGCCAGCUUACCUAACCAGGCUAGUCUGCCCCCCUCACUCUGGGUGCUCUCCAUGGGCCACUCACCAUUUCCUGAGCAGGACCAGAGCUCUCCUGCCCCAAGGCUGGGCUUCAGCUGCUCUUUCAGCUUUGAACGUCCUUUCCCAUUCUCCAUCAUCCACAUUCACCUAUCCUGCCUGCCCCAGUUAAAAUCCUGUUUCUUCUAGGAAGUCCCUCAUCCCACCCGCUUACCCCAGGGAGACUGAGCUUGUUCCUUCUCCUAGUAAGACCCUCAGCCCAUGGAGUCCUGUGUGAUGUUGUGAGCGUGGGAGGACAGACUGAACUGCUCGGCCCGUGGAGUCCUGUGUGAUGUUGUGAGCGGGGAGGACAGACUGAACUGCGUGGUGCUUCGCACAUAGACCUCAACAGGGAUUGGCAUUUUGAAGCUGUUGGCGGGGGCUGUGGACUGCUUUUCUUCCUUUCUAGCUCAACGGCAGCUAAAGCCACUGCAUACAAUGCAAGGACUGGCUCCUGUUUGGCCACGACUGAUUGCAGCCCCUGGUGAAAUGAGAACCCUGUGGGUCGGAACAAAGUUUGGAUUAUUUAUGUUGCAAGUAACUAAAAUCUCAAGUGAAACUGGUUUAAACAUUAUAUUUUUAUUAUUUAUUUAUUUAUAUUUAAUUCUUUUUUAGAGACAGGGUCUUCUUAGGUUGCCCAGGCUGG